rnacentral:lncRNA from 1 species
GGUCAAGCUCAGUUCUAACAUACCACAACAUGUCAGAGAAACAAAGGUAAAAAGUAGUUUGUGAAAGAGAUAUUAUUUCACACCUUGGAGUCCAUUCCAGGAAGAUAUCACGAAGGUCAGGGGGCAGAUUUCUUUCUUCUCUAUUAAUGGAUAGUCUUUCCCUGAUCAAGGCAAUCCUUGCUAAUUUAUAAUAUCAAGAGAGCACAAGAGGUAAAACUCUAAUGAGAAAAUAUCAAACAAUUGAAGAAUGUACCAGUGACUCAGAGGCAUCUGAAUGGUUCAAACAUCAAACAAUGAUCCCAAUGAUUGCAAAGACCAGUCCUGGAAUCUGUCAUAUCUGACAUCAAAACAUAAAGCUUCAAUGCCAAAUUGGAGACUCUUUCAGGUUAAUGUAACUGAGCAGCCCUCCCAGAGUAUUGCCAAUGGAAAUGAAGUCUAGUUUCAUCAAAUGUAAGUAAGGGAUUAGAUGAAGGAACCCUGGAAGCAGGAACAGGACUUCUCUUCAGAGGUAAAGAUGUCUGUUUGGAGACCCACGUGUUUAUGCAUUGCCUGGACUCCACUGCAGCUUUGAAAAAGUUGACCUGCUCCAUCUCUGAAUCAUAGAAGCGAAAACAGGACUCCUUAAAGGUCUUUGGAAAGAAAAUUUUGAGGAAGGAAUUGUCGAGGUAACUGGAUGGCUCUGAGAGUAAAGUAUCUGAGGAUCUGAGGUAUAGUCUCACUACACACAGAAGAUGGGCCCAGUGAUGCAUGGAGGUCAUCCCAGCACUGGCAGGAACAGGGUCUGGAAAUCCUGCCUCUAUAUCUUCAUCCAGAGAUUUGCUUCUGCCAUCUUUAUUUAGUCAAAGAAAUUAUUAUGGAACCUCUACCUUCAUGUCACCUUUUAUGUGCAAAAAAAAAAGCAACAAUAAGAAUAACGACAAAAUUAAAAACAACAAACAAACAAACAAAAAAACCUCUCCUCUCUGAUAUAAAUUGAAAAAAAUCAUGAGAGGUAAAUUACAUAGUAUGAGGUACAAAUGACAUCCAGUCCAUCAAUUUGUCAGUUUAGAUAAAGCACUGAACCAUCUAUCCUAACGUAGAAGGCUUACUUAUCCUACACCUGAGUUAUGUCCUGUGUUAGGCUUGUAUACCAUCUGAAAACUGUCCUCUCAAAUCUACAUCAUCUCUCUCAACACUAAAGAGCUUGGGAGGCUAUGAGACAAUAACAACUCUUCAACCCCUCCAAAAAUCCAAGAGCGACAUAAAUAUUACCUGAAAAAUAUAGGAAGCACUGACAUAAUUUUCAAAAAGUAAACAAAUUGAAGAGACAGGGUCUACCUCAUAGUUCCCUAUUCCUCUAAAUGUUGGAGCAAUUGUCUUCAACCUACUGGCCCAGAAUAUCAGACGGACCUUAAGUGAAACAGAAAUUAUCAUGAAAAACUAGCUUAUUCUGUCUAUGCAGAACUAAGCUGUCAACUCUCCUGCAUCGUUUGUUCUUUCAAAGACAGUACUUUUUGUCUGUAGUUGAAUUUGGGCAACUUCUGCUCAGUGGCUGCUCUGCCAUGAAAACAGCCUCCUAAAGAUAAUGAUGUUCAACAUCCUCUCCUUUAGCCUCCCUCAGCCUUGAAGCAGGCUGAGUCAGACUUCGCUGACUCUGAAUAUGAGAUCAUCUGGGGUGUAGCCUUCCUACUUAGAUGGCUAUAUUGUUAUGUCAACUAUCACUGCUCUUCUCAGAGACUCUGCUACCUGCUGAGAGACCCUUGAGACAUUCUGGAGACACAUCCUAUCCAGGCUGGCUCCAGGCACCAGGGAGAACGCAAGAUCAUCAGGAGCACAAACACAAAACACAG